UGCUUUCGUGUGUUUUUCAUUUAACUCAUGGACAAACUUAUAAACAGGUGCAAAUAUUAAACCUCUUUUUUUGCAAUCUAAAACUCAUUGUUCAGUAUGAGUCUUGAUACAUAUAAGAAAGAAUAUU
rnacentral:snoRNA from 1 species